GGAUCAUUACCGAGAGGGGCUUCGCGCCCCAGGGGGCCUCGGCCCCCAACUCUCAACCCUAUGAAUAUAUACCUUUCCGUUGCUUUGGCGGGUCUUGGGGUCAAGCCCAUGCCGGUUCGCCGGCGAGUGCCCGCCAGAAGCCCACCAAAAACCCGUUUACCAGUAUUGUCCGAGUCUAAACCAAAUAAUCAAAACUUUCAACAACGGAUCUCUUGGCUCUGGCAUCGAUGAAGAACGCAGCGAAAUGCGAGAAGUAAUGUGAAUUGCAGAAUUCAGUGAAUCAUCGAAUCUUUGAACGCACAUUGCGCCCCUCGGUAUUCCGGGGGGCAUGCCUGUCCGAGCGUCAUUACACCCCUCAAGCGUAGCUUGGUAUUGGGCUUCGCUCACCUGAUAAAGGAGCGUGCCUGAAAAGUAGUGGCGGUCCGGCGUGACUCUGAACGUAGUAAAUCUUCUCCCGUUCCGAGAGCUCGCGCUGGCCUAGCCAGAAAACCACCAAAUCUUCA
rnacentral:rRNA from 1 species